GACGUAGGGCGCGAGCGUUGUCCGGAUUUAUUGGGCGUAAAGAGCUUGUAGGCGGUUUGUCGCGUCUGCGUGUCGAAAAUCCGGGGGCGUCAACCCCGGACCGUUGCAGUGGGUACGGGCAGACUAGAGUGUGGUAGGGGAGACUGAAUUCCUGGUGGUAGCGGUGAAAUGCGCAGAUAUCAGGAGGAACACCGAUGGCGAAGGCAGGUCUCUGGGCCGACUACUGACGCUGAGAAGCGAAAGCAUGGGGGAGCGAACAGG
rnacentral:rRNA from 1 species